AGUGGCGGACGGGUGAGUAACACGUAAGAAUUUGCCUUUAGGAGGGGGACAACAACUGGAAACGGUUGCUAAUACCCCAUAUGCUUUCGAGUGAAACGGAUUUUUCCGCCUAAAGAGAAGCUUGCGGCUGAUUAGCUUGUUGGUGAGGUAAUGGCUCACCAAGGCGACGAUCAGUAUCUGGUUUGAGAGGACGAUCAGACACACUGGAACUGAGACACGGUCCAGACUCCUACGGGAGGCAGCAGUGGGGAAUUUUCCGCAAUGGGCGAAAGCCUGACGGAGCAAUACCGCGUGAGGGAUGACGGCCUAUGGAUUGUAAACCUCUUUUUUCAGGGAGGAAUCAAAUGACGUGUACCUGAAGAAUAAGCAUCGGCUAACUCCGUGCCAGCAGCCGCGGUAAGACGGGGGAUGCAAGUGUUAUCCGGAAUCACUGGGCGUAAAGCGUCUGUAGGUGGUCAAAUAAGUCAACUGUUAAAUCUUGAGGCUCAACCUCAAAAUCGCAGUCGAAACUAUUAGACUAGAGUAUAGUAGGGGUAAAGGGAAUUUCCAGUGGAGCGGUGAAAUGCGUAGAGAUUGGAAAGAACACCGAUGGCGAAGGCACUUUACUGGGCUAUUACUAACACUCAGAGACGAAAGCUAGGGUAGCAAAUGGGAUUAGAUACCCCAGUAGUCCUAGCCGUAAACAAUGGAUACUAGAUGU
rnacentral:rRNA from 1 species